CGCAAAUGACGUUUAGAAAUGUUCAGCGUAGUAUCCGAAUUCUCGUUUGUUCGUUCCCUAAAUAGUGCACUAUAUCAUGAACACUACAUAGGGAAUAGUGAGUGAGUGAAUAGGGAACGAUUUCAAACACAGCUACGGUGUGCGCAACUGUGCAUGUGCGGCCGCAGCAUGUUCCACACAUGCGGUCCUCUACUUAAUAUGUCCGUAUUGAAACUCUUUCGGUACGCCUCUGCACCGAACCGAGCACCCCGUACCGAAACGGUUCAAUACAAAUACAUGUACCGUUACACCCCGAGUUGCUAGCAAUCAAAUUGCAUGAGGGCACACCGAAGACUAGUUGGUAGCUAGAUAGGGACUUCUACUUCCAGUUAGAUACGGUGCAGCUCUGAUAGUUAUCCCUCACUGUUCUGAGUCGAGGCAUUAUAGCUGAUAAUAGGUUAUUGGUUACUGUUAUUGGAUGUUAUUGUCAGUAUAGGCCUCUAAAUGAUUAUUUUGAUUGCUUUGAACACAUUGGUAGCCACCAGCUACUAUUGCUUGCUAAGAGACUUGGAUGAUGUAGGUGUUGUUCUUGCAGCCAUUUAGUCUGGAUAUUCGCCAUAUAAAAGGCUCUGAGGAUAUAAUGGCUGACGCUUCAUCUUGCGCGUCUUACUUCAGUUUUACUGUACAUGCUUAUAUAUGUUUCCUGUCUGUCUUAGUUGUUUGUCCUGAUCUCUCUUAAAUGCUUCUAGGUACCAAGUUGCUGAGGGGUUGAGAUGAGGAACAUGAGGGAUUGGUAUAGGGCUUGUACACAACAGAUGCCACAUAUAUUGAGCCUCUGUUUUAAGGGGGAGGGUGUUACGUCCCCCUGGUACCUCAUACCAUGUGUGGCGGUCCCCCACCACACCCUGUGGGGUGGGGGAUGCAGCAGGUGCACCUGAUUGGCCUAUAAGAGGAAGACAUCCAGCCUUUCGGUCUCUCGCUGCCUGGGUGAGCAGCUGCUGUUGCCAAACCCUCUUCUUCUUUAUUUUAGUUUUGUUGCACAUUCUCACUACACCAGUCCAUAACACACUACUAUUUGUUAUGUCAUGCUUGAGCCAUGCGGUCAUAACAAUGACAAAAAUACAACUCAUACAAAAAUGUACCUUCAUUCCUUGAUAACAAAUGUUUCUCAAUAAAUGUAGCAGCACUUGUUCUGGACUUGAAUCUGAUUUUAUUUAUAAGAAGGGGUAAACAUUGCCACCUAGAGGCAAACUGCUAAA